rnacentral:rRNA from 1 species
UAGGGAAUCUUCCACAAUGGGCGAAAGCCUAAUGGAGCAACGCCGCGUGUGUGAUGAAGGGUUUCGGCUCGUAAAACACUGUUGUAAGAGAAGAAUGACAUUGAGAGUAACUGUUCAAUGUGUGACGGUAUCUUACCAGAAAGGAACGGCUAAAUACGUGUCAG